GAACGCUGGCGGCGUGCCUAACACAUGCAAGUCGAGCGGGAAUCUCCUGAUUGAAACUUCGGUAGAUUGACGGGGAGGAUAGCGGCGGACGGGUGAGUAACGCGUAGGUAAGCUGCCCCAUGCACAGGGAUAGCCUAGGGAAACCUGGAUUAAUACCUGAUGACGCUGCGAGGCCACAUGGCCAUGCAGCCAAAGUUUUUUCGGCAUGGGAUGCACCUGCGUCUGAUUAGCUUGUUGGUGAGGUAACGGCCCACCAAGGCGACGAUCAGUAGCCGACCUGAGAGGGUGAUCGGCCACAUUGGAACUGAGACACGGUCCAAACUCCUACGGGAGGCAGCAGUGAGGAAUAUUGCACAAUGGGGGGAACCCUGAUGCAGCAACGCCGCGUGAGCGAAGAAGGUCUUCGGAUCGUAAAGCUCUGUCCUGAGGGACGAUGAUGACGGUACCUCAGGAGGAAGCCCCGGCUAACUACGUGCC
rnacentral:rRNA from 1 species